rnacentral:rRNA from 1 species
GCUCAUUACAACAGCCUUAAUUUACUUGACCUUGACAACCUACUUGGAUAACUGUGGUAAUUCUAGAGCUAAUACAUGCACCAAAGCUCCGAUCCUCGCGGAGAGGAGCGCAUUUGUUCGCCACAAAACCAAGCGCCCUUCUGGGCGUCCAGUGCUGAACCAGAACAACUCAGCUGAUCGCACGGUCUUGCACCGGCGACGUGUCUUUCAAGUGUCUGCCUUAUCAACUUUCGAUGGUAGUGUACCUGACUACCAUGGUUGUGACGGGUAACGGAGGAUAAGGGCUCGACUCCGGAGAAGGGGCCUGAGAAAUGGCCACUACGUCUAGGGAUGGCAGCAGGCGCGCAAAUUACCCACUCUCAAUGCGAGGAGGUAGUGACGAGAAAUAACAAGACCGUUCUCCUACGAGGCCGGUUAUUGGAAUGGGUACAAUUUAAACCCUUUAACGAGUAUCUAUGAGAGGGCAAGUCUGGUGCCAGCAGCCGCGGUAAUUCCAGCU